UAGCAUCCUUCUGGAUUUCUCCACACUUCAUUGUGUGGAGUUUUUUCCAGGACUUUUACUUUGAGAAAAUUAGAGUGUUUCAAGCAGGCUUGUCGCCUUGAAUACUGCAGCAUGGAAUAAUAAGAUAGGAUUUCGGCCCUAUUUUGUUGGUUUCUAGGACUGAAGUAAUGAUUAAUGGGGACGGUUGGGGGCAUUCGUAUUUAACUGUCAGAGGUGAAAUUCUUAGAUUUGUUAAAGACGAACUACUGCGAAAGCAUUUGCCAAAGAUGUUUUCAUUAAUCAAGAACGAAAGUUAGGGGCUCGAAGACGAUCAGAUACCGUCGUAGUCUUAACCAUAAACUAUGCCGACUAGAGAUAGGAAAACGUCAUGCUUGACUUCU
rnacentral:rRNA from 1 species